rnacentral:rRNA from 1 species
UACGUAGGGGGCAAGCGUUGUCCGGAUUUAUUGGGCGUAAAGAGCGUGUAGGCGGCCAGACAGGUCAGCUGUGAAAACUCGAGGCUCAACCUCGAGACGUCGGUUGAAACCGUCUGGCUAGAGUCCGGAAGAGGAGAGUGGAAUUCCCGGUGUAGCGGUGAAAUGCGCAGAUAUCGGGAGGAACACCGAUGGCGAAGGCAGCUCGCUGGGACGGUACUGACGCUGAGGCGCGAAAGCGUGGGGAGCGAACAGG